rnacentral:misc_RNA from 1 species
AAGUCGUAACAAGGUUUCCGUAGGUGAACCUGCGGAAGGAUCAUUAUCGAAAAAACCAUUUCGAAGGAAGGUUGUGCUGGCCACUUGUUGGUAUUUGUGCAUGCCUUCCUGACCCUUCUUUUUUCAAAACCUGUGAACCUCUUGUAGGCCAAGAGAUUGGUCUACGUUUUUAUCAUAAACUCAUUUUGCAUGAUAACGAACGUUUGUUGUAAUAAUAUAACACAACUUUCAACAACGGAUCUCUUGGCUCUC